rnacentral:lncRNA from 1 species
CCAGGAUAAGCGUCGUUGGGGCAGGUCCUGGGUAGAGUCCAGGUUGGCGGGUCCUGGGGCGGAGUCAGGAUAGGGCGAUCCUGGAAGCUGGGCUUCAGAAGCGUCCAGCGCCACCCGUCUGGGGCCCGAAAGGAGGGAGCUUUCCCUCUGUCCUCCAGCCUUUGGACUGUCUCCAAACAAGCCAUUCGUUCACCAAAUACUUAUUAAGCACCUACCAUGUGCCUGACAAGGGAGAUGUAACGCUGUUGUUCCCCACCAGAACCAAAUGAGCGCAAGAUCUGACAAAGAAAAAAAAGGUUCAUCUUUUAUUCCCCCAAACACUUUCAUUUAAAUCAAGAGGAUGGGAUGUGGUUAUUGCUGUGUUUUUAGACAGAAUCAACGGUUUCUGUGUCUGAGAUGUUGCAUACACCCUCUCAGUCCCUCUAUCCUGAGAUGGAGUCACCUGAGGAUCCACAGCAAGUCCUAACCAGGGAUGGGUCUGGGUGAUUAAGGAAGGUUGGCUUCAGAACUGGGCCAGGGGCACUGCUUUGCUUUUGCUGUUUUGAUCAGCUCUCUGCCUGCAGGAGACAAGGAAAACCAAUGGGAACAGCCCAGUAAAGGCUCCAUUCCCCAUUUUACAGCUGGGGAAACUGAGUUACAGAGCUUUUCUGCACUGAGUCAUCAGGAGCAAAUGCUAGAUCAGAUAGGGUCUCUCUCUCUGCCACCCAGGCCAGAGUGCAGUUGACGCAGGGCAGGGGAGCCCCGAAGUGGAGCAUAGUGUGUCCGGAACUGGUGGGUUCUUGGUCUCACUGACUUCAAGAAUGAAGCCGUGGACCCUCACGGUUCAAGCGAUUCUCCUGCCUCAGCCUCC